AAUGGCGGGGGAGGGGUCCCCUCAGCCCAGAUUGCAAGAGGGCGCAGGACAGGCUGAGGGACCCCAUCGAUGCAUG
rnacentral:pre_miRNA from 1 species